rnacentral:rRNA from 1 species
AUUGAACGCUGGCGGCAGGCCUAACACAUGCAAGUCGAACGAGUGGCGGACGGGUGAGUAAUGUCUGGGAAACUGCCCGAUGGAGGGGGAUAACUACUGGAAACGGUAGCUAAUACCGCAUACCAUCGGAUGUGCCCAGAUGGGAUUAGCUAGUAGGUGGGGUAAUGGCUCACCUAGGCGACGAUCCCUAGCUGGUCUGAGAGGAUGACCGCCAAAACUGGAACGGAGACACGGUCCAGACGCCUACGGGAGGCAGCAUUGGGGAAUAUUGCACAAUGGGCGCAAGCCUGAUGCAGCCAUGCCGCGUGUAUGAGGAAGGCCUUCGGGUGGUAAAGUACUUUCAGCGAGGAGGCGUUACUCGCAGAAGAAGCACCGGCUAACUCCGUGCCAGCCGCCGCGGUAAUUC